UACGGAGGGGGCAAGCGUUGUUCGGAAUUACUGGGCGUAAAGGGCGCGCAGGCGGCUGCUCAAGUCAGGCGUGAAAGGCCUGGGCUCAACCCGGGAAUUGCGCUUGAGACUGGGCUGGCUUGAGUGCGGGAGAGGGAUGCGGAAUUCCAGGUGUAGCGGUGAAAUGCGUAGAUAUCUGGAGGAACACCGGUGGCGAAGGCGGCAUCCUGGACCGGCAUUGACGCUGAGGCGCGAAAGCCAGGGGAGCAAACGGG
rnacentral:rRNA from 1 species